rnacentral:rRNA from 1 species
AACAGGAUUAGAUACCCUGGUAGUCCACGCCGUAAACGAUGUCGACUUGGAGGUUGUUCCCUUGAGGAGUGGCUUCCGGAGCUAACGCGUUAAGUCGACCGCCUGGGGAGUACGGCCGCAAGGUUAAAACUCAAAUGAAUUGACGGGGGCCCGCACAAGCGGUGGAGCAUGUGGUUUAAUUCGAUGCAACGCGAAGAACCUUACCUGGUCUUGACAUCCACAGAACUUUCCAGAGAUGGAAAGGUGCCUUCGGGAACUGUGAGACAGGUGCUGCAUGGCUGUCGUCAGCUCGUGUUGUGAAAUGUUGGGUUAAGUCCCGCAACGAGCGCAACCCUUAUCCUUUGUUGCCAGCGGUCCGGCCGGGAACUCAAAGGAGACUGCCAGUGAUAAACUGGAGGAAGGUGGGGAUGACGUCAAGUCAUCAUGGCCCUUACGACCAGGGCUACACACGUGCUACAAUGGCGCAUACAAAGAGAAGCAAUCUCGCGAGAGCUAGCGGACCUCAUAAAGUGCGUCGUAGUCCGGAUUGGAGUCUGCAACUCGACUCCAUGAAGUCGGAAUCGCUAGUAAUCGUGAAUCAGAAUGUCACGGUGAAUACGUUCCCGGGCCUUGUACACACCGCCCGUCACACCAUGGGGAGUGGGUUGCAAAAGAAGUGGGUAGCUUAACCUUCGGGAGGGCGCUUACCACUUUGUGAUUCAUGACUGGGGGUGAAGUCGUAACAAGGUAACC